rnacentral:rRNA from 1 species
GUUUGAUCCUGGCUCAGGAUGAACGCUAGCUACAGGCUUAACACAUGCAAGUCGAGGGGAAACGACAUCGAAAGCUUGCUUUUGAUGGGCGUCGACCGGCGCACGGGUGAGUAACGCGUAUCCAACCUGCCCACCACUUGGGGAUAACCUUGCGAAAGUAAGACUAAUACCCAAUGACGUCUCUAGAAGACAUCUGAAAGAGAUUAAAGAUUUAUCGGUGAUGGAUGGGGAUGCGUCUGAUUAGCUUGUUGGCGGGGUAACGGCCCACCAAGGCGACGAUCAGUAGGGGUUCUGAGAGGAAGGUCCCCCACAUUGGAACUGAGACACGGUCCAAACUCCUACGGGAGGCAGCAGUGAGGAAUAUUGGUCAAUGGGCGAGAGCCUGAACCAGCCAAGUAGCGUGCAGGAUGACGGCCCUAUGGGUUGUAAACUGCUUUUAUAAGGGAAUAAAGUGAGUCUCGUGAGACUUUUUGCAUGUACCUUAUGAAUAAGGACCGGCUAAUUCCGUGCCAGCAGCCGCGGUAAUACGGAAGGUCCGGGCGUUAUCCGGAUUUAUUGGGUUUAAAGGGAGCGUAGGCCGGAGAUUAAGCGUGUUGUGAAAUGUAGACGCUCAACGUCUGCACUGCAGCGCGAACUGGUUUCCUUGAGUACGCACAAAGUGGGCGGAAUUCGUGGUGUAGCGGUGAAAUGCUUAGAUAUCACGAAGAACUCCGAUUGCGAAGGCAGCUCACUGGAGCGCAACUGACGCUGAAGCUCGAAAGUGCGGGUAUCGAACAGGAUUAGAUACCCUGGUAGUCCGCACGGUAAACGAUGGAUGCCCGCUGUUGGUCUGAAUAGGUCAGCGGCCAAGCGAAAGCAUUAAGCAUCCCACCUGGGGAGUACGCCGGCAA